rnacentral:lncRNA from 1 species
UCCUCUUCCCCUCCUCAUCUUCCCCCUCCUCCACUGAUUCACCCCGGACCCCCGCGGGUGCCGCAGGAAGGGUCCGGAUUUUGUCCAUCGAUGGUGGAGGCAGCCCCUCCGACGCAUUCCUCGCCGCAGCCGCCCUCGCCCGGCUCGAAUCUUCCCUCCGCCGCCACUCCGGUGACCCAUCCGCCACCGUCACCGAAAUGUUCGACGUCGCCGCUGGGUCUGGUGCCGGCGGCGUCCUCGCCGCGAUGCUCUUCACCAGGGGUCACGACGGCCGCCCCCUAUUCUCUGCCGCCGACGCGCUGCAGGUCCUCCUCGCCGAGAGCCGCCGCCGGGGCGACCGGGGUUUCGCUUCCAAGAGGGGCUUCCUCCGUGGGGUGUUCCGGCGACCGGGGGGUUUUCUCCGGCGGAUCUUCGGCGACGCGACGCUGAGGGACACCAUCAAGCCGUUGCUGAUACCGUGCUACGACCUCGCGACGGGUGCGCCGUUCCUCUUCUCGCGGGCGGACGCCGUGGAGGCCGAUGGGUACGACUUCCGGGUGUGGGAGGUGUGCGCCGCCACGUGCGCCGACGCGGGAGCCGCGGCGGUGGAGCUGCGGUCGGUCGACGGGCGGACGCGAGUCGCCGCGGCGGGCGGCGGAGUGGCGAUGGCGAACCCCGCGGCGGCGGCCAUGACGCACGUGCUGCACAACAAGCAAGAGUUCCCCUUCGUCGCUGGAGUGGAGGACCUCAUGGUGGUCUCCCUCGCAGCCUCCGCCGUGGCUCCCUCCGCAGCGGGGACCGCAGGGCUCGUCAGGAUCGCCGGCGAGGGCGUCGCCGACAUGGUAAGGAGACACCUCUCUCCUCUCGCGUCUUUCAUCAGUGGCCAACGAACCCAGUCCAAAAACUAAUCAUCACCGAUCUCAUCGUCAAAACAAUCUGUGAUCAAAAGAUUAGACGGUCCAGAUUAACCUUUCUUCUAACUAACUAAAUAUUAUUCCAUUAAAGUUCCUUAUAAUAUAUAUAUACACACAAAAAAUUUGGAAAAUAAAUAAUAUAGCAUAUAUAUCCCUUCAAAUAUUAGAAAAUUUCAUAUAUGCCACUGUCUUUAACACAAUAAAAAGAUGGUUCGUAAAGAAAUAUAUAAAAAUAUUUACAAUAUUUCUAAUAUUUUUGACAUCCAAUGCAGCAUGUUGUUAUCGUUUAUACUAAAUCAAGUAUGUUCUUCCUCUGUAAUCUGAUCAGGUGGAUCAAGCGGUGGCAAUGGCAUUUGGAGACUGCAGAAGAAGCAAUUACGUACGCAUCCAGGUACACUUUCGACUUCUGCUGACAGCAAAUCGUCACAUCCAUUAGAUAGCUGUGUUCAUAGCUGAUGAACUCAAUUUUCCAGGCUAAUGGAUUCAUGUGUGGAAACUGCACGCCAAGGAUGGCGAAUCCGAAGAACCUGAUGGAAGCAGCAGAGGACAUCAUGUCACAGAGAAACGUGGAGUCGCUGCUCUUCCGAGGGAAGAAGGUCUCCGGUGAGACCAAUGCCGAGAAGCUCGACCGGUUCUCGGGCGCGCUCAUCAAGGAGGAGGAGAGGAGGAAGAAGAGCCCGAUUCCGACGGUGGUGGUAAAGCAAGUGAUGACCCCGAGGACGUCGUCAGCGACUAACAUCACCACCGCCACCACUGUCACCACCACCACCACCACCACGUCGACGACGACCACAUCCACUUCUCCGGACCAUUAGAUCGAAAUAGAGUAGAGCAAAACAUAGUUGGCAAGAAUCUUGUAACUCUUUUUUUGUGUUGCAGACUUCCUUGGUAGAGGGUUUGACAUGGGAAGUCAGUUUGUAUGAGUUGACCUUGUUGACCAAGGAUCGGGCAAGUCGUACCGCAGCUUGUCAUGCCCAUCGAAAUCCUUCUUCGAAUGACUUCGUUGAUGUUGUUGUGCAAACAUAAAAAUCACUUCUAGAUCAUAGUGUUAUUGGACAUUACUGUCUGCAACUUUGGUUCAGAUUCAUCGAUUUUAACAAUACCUGCUUGUUGAUCAACAAACAUAGGAAAAACAUCAGUAUGCCCCAUUAAUUUCAUCGAUCAAAAUUAAUGCACACUAUCGGUAUAGUACGGUUGAUAUAUAAGAUCUUACUCUAAUAAAAAACUAUUAUUUUUAUGACUCGAAUUCUAAUCGCUCGACUCGUGUAAGAAUAAUCUUACUAUGAUAUCAAGGCAUAAUAUAAAUAAAAUUAUAAUUUUAAGUGAGAGUCUUACUCGACAAAAAAAGUUAUUUUUAUGGCUCGAAUCUUAACCACCUAAUGCACAACUUAAAACAAGGUUAGUCACCUUUCUAACCCAUGCAUUGUUGAUGGGCUCAACCUUUGAGCUUUCAUGAGGCUUGGACGAGUACGAAGCACUUGUGAGCUUGGACAGAGGAGGAGCCAUAGCCAAAUGCAUGAGUGAAGGAAGCUUCUCCCAAGUUGCCUUUGGUCAACUUUGGUCCUCUGAUUCCACAGGUGCAAAUCCAACAUGUGGGGACUUAAAAGAUGAAGUGCAGGGAGAAUCUAUAUCACUGUUUGAUACUCUGUAAUCUGUAACAACAGCUCAUCAUUUGUUGGCAAUUCAUCUAAUGAAAGAUUAAAACAAACUUGAUGACCUUGUUUAGCUCAUCUGCCAUUUGAUUGAUAUGGUUUACAUGUUCUGCUAUUAUGAAAAUUGCGAGAUGAUUGAAGCCUGUGGAUUCCCUCAGAUCUUUCUGCAGCUAUAUAAUUUGUGCUGGAACAUUGAUUUCCUUCUUCAUUUAUACACUGAUGUUAUACUGUUGGCAUGUGAUGUACAUGCCAUGACAACUCCUUAGUCUUCUGAUUAAUCUUUAAUGUUCUAUACAUGUAUGUUUAAGCCUUGGAUUCCUUCUUUGUAGGUAGGGGGAGAGAGCAUGCAGCAGAUCUAGAUCUUACUACAGCUAAUUUAUGGUACAACAAUGUUUUCCUUUUUCAUUUCUGCAUUAAAAUUUAACAUGCAAACAGCAUAUUGUAAUCUGUGCUGUAUGUAUUAGACAAUAACAGUUGUUGCAUAAUCAUAUAGCUACCAGUGGAGUUAAUUCUGAUAAUAAUAUGAUAUUAGAAGCUCAUGCAAUCUAUCAAUGCUCAUCAUAUUCUAUAAGCAGCAAAAAUAAUACAACCCAGUACAAAAGUUUGAGAUAGAUGUAAACAAAAUUUCUAUGAUGUGCCUCUUCAAUUUUGUGAUAUAUCAUUCUCAUGCAUCACAUCAAAUCAAGGAAACAAUUGAAACAAAGUGUACACCUUUUCUUCAACAUGUAUAUCGUGUUAUCCAUGGUAGCAAACCUGACCUAAACAGCACUCAUAGUUAAUUGGAAUAUGAAACAGAGACCAUGCACCAAUAAAAGUCUGGUGAAUAAGACAAGAUUGCAUGCCUGCUCAUCACAUGGAUAGAUGUGUUCCAAACCUAGUAGAUCGUAAUCAAUGAUCUCUCUUAACUGGUUCUGUGGCUGGCACCUGGGAACUUGUGGCCUUAAAUUAGCAUAGUCAAGCUGCAAUUGUUAUAGUGUUCACCUCCAAAAGAAUGAAAAGACACCAGUGGAAGCUGCUGCAGAACUUUCUUGGUAACUAACCUUUAGUCAACCCUGGUCUCGAAGAUUCCGCAGCUGACACCUCCAAGAGUAAAACAAACCUAUUUGUGUGAUCCAAUGGACAGAAGGAUCUGUGCAGUUUUGCUUCUUCCUAUACUUUUGAGCCAAGGUGAUAAAAGUGUGAUGGAAUCUCUGCAUGCUUACACAUCUUAUUGGUACAGGGUCUUCUUUUCUGUUUCUGUGAAGUAUUGUUGCAUGUUCACCAUUUAUAAGAAAGCUCCUCUCCAAUCAUGUUUGUCAAUGGCUGUAGAUCUAUUGAUCAAAGCAUGUUUAGUAAAUUGUUCUACUUGCAAUGCACAUAGCUCAACUAGGUUCUCAAACAAAUAGAUGGUAAACAUAAUUAGGAUACCUAGAGCAGUACAUAAUUGUAGAGGAAUCCCCUUCACUUCAGUUGAUAUUGGAGACCUUUAGCGGUCUCCCUUAUCCCUUUCCAAGCCCAUUUGCAUUCAGCUUGUUCCAUGGAAGAAGCCUGAAAGACAGCAGCAAGCAGCCCCUGCUACACUUACUGUAAUAUCUGAUGACACAGCCAGCCCCUGCAACUCCUACACAGCAGAUGAAGACUGAAGGGAGACACAGCCAGGCUGACAGUUAAGAAAUGCUCAUUAGCCGAAAAAUGAUGAAACUUACCAACACCAGAAGGGAAUUACUGCAAGCUGAGGUGAUUUGCAAAGCCUUGUUUAGCUCUUUGGAAAGAGGUUCCUGAGUUAAGAUGAACCUAUUUCUCAGGAUUAUCUCGGUGGUUGAUGGUUCACAUAAUGAUCAUUAAUCUACUUGCUAAACUAAAUUAACAACUGCAAUUAUUUACAAUAGGAAACUGCAAGAAACUAUAAGUAUUAUUUAUCAGUGUUCAUCGGGGAGUUUUGUGAUGCGAAUACACCUUCAGCAACAGGGUAGAUUAAACAAAAAACUAAGGAAUUUUUUUUCUACAAACAACAUGAAAUAUGUUAUAACAAUAUGAAAGCGAAGUGCCCUGUUAGAUAUGGUUUGAAACACUUAAACAUAGAAAAAUCACUGUUUAGCUUGUUUGAAAUUUUUUUCAGAGAUGAAAAAUUCACCUAACAAGCUUAUAUAAACAUUCAUGUUUAUCGCAUUUCAGAUUUUUGGAAGAUGGAGCAUUGGUAUAACAAAUGACAUACUUGCUAUGCCUAGAAUUCUAAUGCUCUAAAGUUGUUGGCAGAACCUACAGAUGGGCUCCUGUAAAUUACAUCGUGACAGAAGCACAAGUCCCUUUACAAACCUCUCAACUUCAAUUGUAAUAAGUUAAAAUUUAGCUACUGAUACAAUUUGAAACAUCUUGAAGCCUGACUAUGUAGCUUUCCCAGGUGGCCAGAAAUUAUCUUUGAAGGCUUCUAAACAUUCCAAAGUAGACUGAAUAUGCUUUGAUACAGCAGUGUUCAGAUUAUUCAACCCAGCUCUCUGUACACAAAUGUUUGACUUAAGCCUUGAGAGCCUCCAACUUGUUUCUUUCCUCAAGAAGGAUAUAUGAGGUGCAGCGUAGUUUAAACUGUCCUCAGCAACACUCUUCAUGGUUGUAAGUGCAUAAGAUCUUGCAGAAUCCAAAGAACCAGUUUUUGUUGUAAAAGCUGAAAACAGGAAAAGUGAAUUACUACUACUGCAUUGUCUCCCAUUUUUAUUUUUCGUGUGUAUAUUCCAUAUAUUAGUUAUUUCUAUACAUCCAGUAACUAAAACAAUGGCAAUAAAAAAGAGAGAGUAGUUGUAACAACAUAUUCAUGUAGCAUACCUUGUCUUCAGUAAAAUUCUUUCAGUUGAAGUUGCUCCUGCUAUUUCCUCUCAAAUAGGGCUAGAUAAUGUAGAUGCUAGCUCAAGAAUAUAUGUGCAUUUUGAAUUUAUUUAUACUUAUAAUAUAGUUAUGCCACUGUCUAAAGCAUCUGCUAAUGCUCACCACAGAAACACGACAUCAGCAUUUAACAGUAGCCAUGUAAUUCUUAUCUUAAAGUAUUUGGUUAGUUAUGACGAAGCCCUUGAAACACUUAAUAGUUGAUCCCAAGAAAAAGUUGAAAUUAGUUAACAUUCUUAUUUGAUCCAGUAUUCCAGCAAAUGAUUCACAAUUCCAAUGGGCAGAUGUAAAGGCUAAAAAUGGAUUGUCAUCCUUACAUAUACAGUUGAAACAAAGCCCAUGGUGAUCUACAUACUAAAAAUCAUAUCCAUGUAUAUCCAUGACAACAGCAAAAAGACUACCACUUAAACUCAUCCAAUGCUCAGAUAAAAAAACAACAAUAUAUGAAAAUAAGAAUAUCAUUUAGAGCUAUAACAGGGAGAUCAAAUUGUAUAGUAUAUCAGAUGAGUAGACAAAAUACAAGAUUAUUGGCCACAAGACAACCAGAAUGAUACCUCAUAAACACAAGAGUGAUAGAUGUUAGGUAGCACAAGCUAUAAAAUGACAUAAUUAAUUAAAGAAAGAAGAUCAAUAUAAGCACCACCAACAUACCAUUGUAUGCGAUUCGGGUAAGGCCAUCUUGUGGAAGGCCAAUGCCAAUGCCAACCAGUGUAAUACCAACACUGAAUCCUGCACCACAGCCUGCUCCAACAUAUCCAAUGACCUCAGGACCAAAGCCAGGACCCCAACCUACACCGCACCCAAUACCUAUCCCCAUGCCCCAAAAGGUGCCGACAGUAGGGUGCACGGGAUUCCAUCUCUGGUAUCUUCUGAAGAGUCCUUUUAUUAUCAUUAGUAGCUGCAACAAGGGCCAAGAACAGAAUGCACAUCUUUCAAACAAAAAGAAACUCAAGAAUAAAAUCAUGAUAAUAAUUAUGUUAGGAUUAAUUUAAUGAAAGAAAUACCUUGUUUUUCUAAUAAGAUGAAUCAACAAUAUAAGAGAAGAGAGUGGCUGAAAAGAGAAUAAAUUUACGAAUCACAGCAAUAUUAAGGACUUGUCUAACAUAUAUACAGUCUCCUUGCAUCUCCAUGACAAUUAAAAUUAUCAGGCUACAUUGACUGAGUUGUCAUAUAAAGAACUUGAUAACCUAAAUAUAUUAUUUUUGACACAAAGUUAUUUGUUUCUCAUGGUGAUAAUAACAUCCAUCUAUUGAUAAAUGGUUGUAUAGGCAAAGGCAUUCUACAACUGGGUGUGUAUGAAAGCAAUAUGACUAUAUAUAUACCAACAUAUACAUAUAUAUAAAUCAAUCGUUUGGGCAAGGGAUUGAAAUUAAACCUAAAUGUCCCAAAGGCCAAAAAUUUUGAGACAUGUCAAAGUAAUGGGCGGGGAUUAAGUUCUACUGAUAUACUUCAUUUCCAGCACAAAGCAGAAGUAGCAGAGGCUGCAGGUCUAUCCACAACGUGACACCCUGCUAAUAUCUUGAAUGUCUUAUGUAUAACAAUUCUUCAAGUCAAAUUGUGCACAAAGUCGAUUUGACACCUAGAACUAAAAAAACAUCAAAGGGAACGUUUAUUGACAGUGUCUACUGUCUAUGAUACAGUAGCUUAUUAAGUUUCAAAAGUGGACAUUAAAGUGAAUCAUCAAGCAAAAUUAGAACUAGAGCUCUCUAGGACAAAGUCUCCUAUCUUAUCAGGUGAAACAAAGGUUAUUGCAUCAUCCUUCUCCUCCACAAAACUUCACAACAGCAUCUUUGUAACAAGACAAUCAAAGUGAGACUUUUAUGUGAUCGAAUAAAUUAUCAGAGUUAAUUAAGUGUAUCCCAUUUUUUCACUCCAAUACUUCACAGUCGAAAUGAGUCGAAUAGCAAAAGAUCAUUUUCUGAAAAAUGGUAUAAUACAAAUACAAAGCCCAAUUUACAUCAGGGGAAUUUUCAAUGAAAAUUAGCUUUGUAUUAGAAGGACCAAUUGCCACAGAAGUGGAACAAAACUAUGGUGGAGAAACAACUUCAUCAAACAAAAUAUUUUCUUUGUGGUGAGGCAUUUCAAUAACUGAUCCAUACCCUUCUGAUCACACAAGGAUUUCGCUCAACCAAAACAAAGAAAACCAAGAUCAGAUUAACAAUGUAAAAGAAAGCCAAAAAAUUCUUCACAUCUUCUCGUUACAUCAUAAAGAAGUGUUUUUGGCGUAUUUAAGACGACUUCAUGCGCAGUAAACACCAGCAGGACGCGUAACUCCGAGAAUGCGGUGGACAGGAGGAGAAAGAAAGAGAUGAAGCCAGAGAAAAAUAUAAUCUACUCACUAGAUUUCGAUCACCAUGGAGAUCUCCGUUCUUGGAUCCGACUUCGGACACGUGACUGCCGCAGAGCCGAGCAGGACGCCGGCGGUGCCCCAUUUUAUCCAUCCGCCGCUCGCGUGUUGUUCCUACUCCCAUAUAUUUUGUUUCACGAAAAACGUCCUCGAUUUUCCGAUAAUUUCCAAAUUGCCCCUGAGCAUGACGUUGUACUCGACUCGAGUCGAGCCUGACCGAGCCCAACUUGUUUCACCAAACCACUCGCACUCACACUCACCAAAACCGUCCUCCUGCCCUUCAUAAUUUCAGAAUUGCCCCUGCCUCGUCACGUUGCAGUCGACUCGAGUCGAGCUUGAUCAAGCUUGAUCAACAGACUAUUCUCUCUCACAUACACCAAAACCGUCCUACUUUCUUCGAUAAUUUCUGAAUUGCCCCUGCCUCAGCACCUCUCUCUCUCUCUCUCUCUACUCGGACGAAACGAGAAGGAAAAUGAAUCUGCAUCGACUCUGUAUCUUCAAGGAAACCCACCACGUUCCACUUCGCGCAUACGUUUGCCCUCGCCCAAAGAACUCCCCGUUACUUCUUCUCCGAUCGAAGAUGACGGCAUUGCUUUGCUGGUCGCCUUGGGACUACAUCUCCCCUUCGGGUCCAGGCUUUCGAUGAUUCACCUUCUCCGUCUUGGUUCUGUUUAAUCUUCCUGUCUUUUGAAGAAUUCGGGGAUCUUGCUUGUUUCUUUGUUUUAUGCUGCUUAAUUAAGCGCAAUUCAGUCGGAUUUGGUAUUAGACCUCGGACCCGACAGCCUUACUGUUCUAUUGGCUUCUUUUCUCUUUUAUCUCGACCCUUCUCCGUUUGGUUGUUCUAGGAAGAGGAGGAAUGUUGGGAGGAAGAUUUUCGCAUCUAUUUUUGUGCAUUGUUCUUCUGAAAAAUGUAUCUUCUUUCGUAGUUACGAACCCUAACUUAACCACGCUUUGUCAACUGAUGGAAUGAGUGAUCCAUAUAAGUUUGUAAUCUAUAGGUUUUUUUUAUUGCAAAAUGAACACUUUUGGUUGAGUGACUUCUUGUUUGGAAUGGUGAAAUGUAGCCAUCGAUUGUUGGACUGCAUGCGAUUCAACUAUGCAGGAAUGUCCUUGUUUACCCGAGGGGAGCCACUGAUGCGCGUUGUGCAAUAUGCGGCACAACGACUGCAGCUCCUCCACCAGGUACGUCUUUUACAUCAUUCUAACCUAGUUAUAAUCAUGAAAUGUUGCUGAUGUGAAUUCCUGACAUGCAUGAUUUAUUUUUGGUUUUGAAUAUAAGCCAUAUGGGCAUCAGAUACAUAUCUUAACAAUAAACAUUUUAAAGUGUUUCUCUGUGCAUUGUGGAUCGCUCACCUUCUAUAUAAUCAAAAUGUGUUCCUUUGAUCUUCUGUAUCUGUAUCCAACUAUCCAUGAACGUUAACAGUGCUACUUGCACUUGGAUGUUGUUGUUGUGUUGCUGAUGGUCUCUGUCUCUUAGGUGGUUCAAAUCACCAAUAUUAUUAAUAAACUACCUAUUUGCCUAUGGAAGCUUAAAUCACGAAAUUUGCAGGAAUGAAGAUUGUUCAGCUUGUAUGUAGAGGCUGCUGAACAAUGUUGAUGUAUGCAAACGGUGCGACAAGUGUAAGGUGUUCCUGUUGUGACACCAUGAAUAUGACAGGAUCAGGUAUUCAUUUGUAUCUUUUAUAUGACUGUUUAUUAAGCUACUGAACAAGUAGACUAUUUUUUUGAAUGUCAGUUCAGGAUGAUCAUACAAUGGUUCUUCGAUGCUUGUUUCUUACAGUGGACUCCAUAUGUGCUCUAGGAUAAGUCUUGCAUCAUGCUUUUUUCGUCAUCCAUUGAUGUGGACUAUAAUUUCUUCUAUAAAAGUAAAGAAAUCAUGUCAGCAAUUGAAUAAUACUAUCCAUUUAGAACUUGACAAUCUGUUACUACUUGCUUGCCUUUUAUAUUGACUUCAAAGCUGCAUUUUCUAUGAAACUAUAAUCGUACUUAUAAGAUUCUAGGAUAGUUCCAGUGCAUAUCACGGAUAUGAACUGUUGACACUUUCUGAUAUCUGAUGCAACAUAUAAAAAGAGAAAUUCUUAUUUAAAUCUCUUAAAUUAGUUUUUCAAGUUCCUGGGUUGAUUUUCAGCAAAUCAGGUUGCUCAUCUGAACUGUGUCCAAUGUCAUCCGAUUCUGAUGUACCCUUAUGGAGCACCAUGUGUCAAAUGCGCAAUUUGUAACUACAUUACAAAUGCUGGGGUAUAAUUUGAAUCCUUUUAUAGUUCUUUUGGUUUUAGUUUUCACUAUUUUGUAUUAAUUAUUAACCUUCUCUGUUAAUAAAGAUGCAUAAUAUGAGAUUUCCAAUCCAUGUUGCUCAUAGGCCUAAUGAACCUACCCCUGUUCCUCCAUCAACUUCAGUUGUAUGUUCGCUUCCUCAAGUCUCUUUUGGUUGUGCAAUUUGUUUCAUUAUUCAUUUAUAUGUUAUAUGUUUUCUUUUGGUUUUUUUAGCCAUCUUCCCGAGCUUCAAACAUGACCGUAGUUGUUGAGAACCCAAUGUCAGUGAAUGAAAAUGGCAAACUGGUAAGCUCAAUUUUCUUAAUUGUCUAUGGAGUUUAAACUCUAUUAAUAAUUUUAAUUCUUCUAUGAUGCAGGUGAGCAAUGUUGUGGUUGGAGUUACCACCAGGAAAAAAUGACAAUGGACCAGUUUUAGAAUCAGUUGGUUGAUAUUCCAGUUAAAUGAAGAUUAAGUCUCUUCUUCCUGGAGCUCAGGUUUUUAACAAAUGAUGGACACAAUGCCUAAGACCUGUUUUCUUUUUUUUUUCUAACUUUUGUAAAUGUGCCGUGUCACAUGGAAAUUUGUUGCAUCUGAUAGAUAUGCUACUGCAGUAGCAAGUGAUCUCACAAUUAAUGUCAAAUUACAUAAGACAAUAUACUUGUCCUGAUGAUUGCUUAUUUGUUUUGUUGGUUGACAUGAUAAUGGAAUUUUGUAAAGUUUCAUUUCUUUGGAUAGUUUACUGCUGUAUUGCACCACAAGUUCAUUUUAAUAAGGCUCCUUGAUUUUAUUGAAACAGCUCUGGAUAUACUGAUUGCCCCAGGUCAGUUUCAGGAAAAACUCAUCAAAAUGUCUGUUCAAUCAUUCAUCAAAAGCACUAAUUAUGAAAAGAGGAUGUGAUGUUUAAUUGAUAUGAGAACUGUAUUAGUUGGAUUGCAUCUGGUCAUGUUUUGCUGCCUAAUAUUCAAUAGAUUAAAAUUUUUAUGGACCCCAGAUCUGUGACCUACAGGAUCACUUUGUUUUGUAGUCUCUUUGCAUCAUUUUCAUGAUAAGGCAUAUUCUGAAGAAUGUAUCUGUGAUUUAAUUAUUUGUUUACUGAGAGAACUUGAGGAAGCAUGGAAUAGGCACAAAACAGUUUUUCUACAACUAGAUUUGAGGAACAGAUGGAUGCAGACCUUAGUCUGCCAGAGAAUGUUUCUUCUCAUGGGCAUGUAAAAUUCAUGAAAGCUCAAUGUAUAUAGUUUUACUUCCGGUGUAAUUUUGGGGAUUUUUAUUUAGAUAGAAAAGUCAAAAUGGCAUAUCAAUUCUAGUGUUUUUACAAUUAGAAUAUGACACUAGUUGAGGUCCUUAGUAUGUAUAUUGAUGGAGAAGAACUUCAAUAUAUAUAAAAGCUGAUAACUUUGGUGUCAUGGUAAGAUUGCUCUCUUUUUGUGAUAUAGCUGAUCAGGUUUCAGUAUAUUAACUCUUCCAUAUCAAAAAUUGGUGGAAACAUUAUGCACUAGGUCUUCCUGAACCAUACAUUUCAUUGUUAUUCAUUUAUACUAAAACCAUCACCCCAUUGUUUUUUAUUGGAUAGUUUAAGAUUCUAGAUCAAAUCAUUUUAUUAAUAACCUACUCACGGUAUCUAAUUGCCACAACAAUCAAGCAAAGUUGUCUGGUCUGUUAAAAUCAUUCUAAAUGUUCUCUAAAGAACAGUGACCUGCAGACAUGGAUGUUUGGGCAAGUGAUGUUGUUCACCAGUUGCAGAGAAGCAACCUGCAACCAUGGUGGAUUCCAAUGGAUGAUAGAUUUAAAGCAUAUCAGCUUCCAUGGUCGUCUUCCCUGUUAAGGUAUGUAAUGAACUAAACACAUCUUUAAGAAGGAUUUCACAUGGUUUAGCAGUGAUCAAAAUUUCAAAUUCUUCCUUCUUUUUAUUGCUUGAGCUUUACGCUUAUGAUAUAUUUUUCUCUCUCUUUAAUGUGAUUGUCAUGUGUUGGGCCGAUUUAGUCAUUUAUAUCAUUUAGCUUAUCCACACUUGAUUGAGAUUGUUAAGAAAUAUUUAAAUCAGUCUUUAUUACAUCUAUCGGCUUAAGCUUUUAGAUAGUUUGGCAGUAGUUCAAGUUCCACAUGGCCCACAUCAUGUGCUGCUUUUGGAUCAUCAACUGGCUUUCUACUGUCACUCUCUAUUAGAAUUCAGCAAACCAGGUUACAUACAGCUCAUAGCCAACAUGUCAUUUCUAAUCAGUUUGUAUCGUCUCCUGUUACAUCAGUAUCAAUUUUGUUUUGAUUGGUGAGGAAGAAGCAAAACUAUUGUCCUCCAGCUCACCAUCAGCAUCUAAAGAUGGAUUGGGACACACUUUGAUUGGAAAUGUUAUUAGUAUGCUAUCAGGUGUGUUGGAUUGUCUCAAAGAAGAAAACCAACCUUGCCAUCAAUCUGAAUAAAAGCUAUGAAAUUUCCUUCAAUGGUUGGUACUUUCAUUUGCUUUGAUGGAAGCAGUUUGGCUGAUAGUUUGCUUGGUCAUCACUACAUUAAAGAACUGCAUAAUCUAUCUUCUUUUAACAUGAUACGCGAACAGUGUUGAACUUUGAAAGUGUUUUAAAUGUUAUUCGUGGUACUUAUUUUAUUUUUCUACAGAAAAGGUCCACAGCUUGGAGGUUGGCCUUCAGUUGCUUUCAGUAAUCUCAGUCCAUUAAAAUAAGGGAAGUAGGAUUUGAUGUCAUCUGUUUCAAUAUAUUAACCUAAACCUGAGCUUGUGGUUGGUUGUGCAGCAAAUGUACAUAACUACAAACAAAUAGAUUGUUGAGGAAGAUGGGGUGAACCAAUUGAGUAAGACCUUCUGAUCUGUGGUUUUUAUGUCAGCAUAUCUGGUCUGAGAUCAUACCCUGAUCUUAAAUAUCUAAUUAAGAAAUAUAAUAAUGAAAAGGGUCCAAUGAUAAUCUAUUAUGUGCUGACAGCAGAUGAUUGCAAUUUCUUGCUGAUGUUCCUUGUUAGAAGUAUUUGAGCUGUAUUAUACUAUGAUAUUAAACAAUCAUAAUGCUUACAAUCUCAGAACUUAGCAAUCCUUGAUACAACCAAACAUAUAAGAAAAUGCUCCAAGGCACAAUCAAUGACCAGAACCAGUUCUGUUGUGCAAUAAUGAGGUUAAUAUUUAGAUGAUGUUGUUAGAUUAAGAUAACUUUUGCUUUAUAAGCUUAAUUUAUGUUGCUUUGGUUGGAACUUGGGGGGGUUGUAUUCUUUCCCUAAAAAAUUUUGGUAUUAUGUUGCAUUAGAAUAUAUAUAUAUAUAUAUAUAGAUCCUCAUCUUCUUGAAGAUCAUCAGGAUCAACCUAGUAAACCGUAAAAAAGGCUAAAGUUAUAAAAGUACAUAUGCAAUGAACUUAUGUAGGAUAAAUCCUAAGAAAACAUAAAGUGGUAGUUCCUAUAUUUUUCUGAAGAAAAAUGGAAACCUAGAAUCUUAGUAACUGGUUGAUUAUAGCACAAUAUUUUGUUGCAGUGCAUUAUAAUUGUCAAAUUAUACUUAGUUUCACAAAUAUAAGAUUUUGAUCAUGUUAACUGUAUAGACUUUACUAUUUUUUAGUCCCUUCACUUUCUUUGGAUAGGCCUCUUUUUUCAUGUCCUUUACUUAAUUUUGGUCUUUGAGAUGAAAUGAAGACCUUGAUGCCUUCCCAUUAACCUCCAUAUAUUUUCUUUUGCCAUUGACCAUCAACCUUACUUUUCUUGCUUACAUUUUCUUUUAUUUAAGUGCUGUUUCAAGCUUAUCCACCAGAAGAAAUAUCUAAUCAUUUUAGGAAGAAGGAACUUAUGCAAUGCCUAAGAAAAUAUUUAAUCAUCACACCUCAUCUGUGUACGACCAAACAUAUAUGUUGGCUUCUUUAUUUGAGUGACUACAGGUAGGAGGUAUCUUUUCUAGUUGCUCACCAACCUCACCAACCCUCAAGAAGGGUUCCAAGUUGAUGGCAGACCACUGUGUGUUAAGUAACCCCCCAGACCCCCUUCAGCUAAAUUUGGCACCAUCUCUCUCUUUGGAUCACCCUCAACCUUGGCAAGGUGGUUCAGAAUUGUUCUUGAGACCUUUCUGUCAGCAGUGAGCUGGUUCAAUCCAGCGCUCAACUCAGGCAAGCCACCUCUUUGAAUCAAGCAUUUUGUUAGAGGCAUUCCCCUUUCCACUGAGGGCAGGUGUGGUGUUGGGCUGGAGAAGCAGGGCACCUGCUCAAACCCCUCCAAGUUGAGUGGGGUUUGGUCAAAGGUGAUGUAGUUGUCCAUGAGGGCUGGGAGAGAUUGGGAGCCUGAGUCAUCAUGGCUUGUCUCCAUGGUUGGCUUGGUGGAGAUCCUUCUGCUCUUGUAGAGGACUCUGCAAAGGACCCAAUCUUCCUGAAUGCACAGAAAAAUGAAGUGUCACAGUUUUUAUGAUGAAAGGACUUGCAGAAACAAGAUGAGUGAUUUCAAUUAAUUAUUAUAGCAGUUGAGUUGGUUGUGGUGGCCACCUAGCAUUCAGAUAGUAUAUUAAAGAUUAAACAGAAAUGAUUUAUGUAACAUGUUGUGAACAAUUUAUUAUAGCAACUUAUGAAUUCAAGUCAUGAAACUGUGUUAGAUAUAUAUAUAUAUAUAUAUAUAUAUAUAUAUAUAUAUAUAUAUAUAUAUAUAUAUAUAUAUAUAUAUAUAUAUAUAUUCUUUUCAGAUAAUAAUGUAGUGAUUACUUGAAGAAGUUUAAAGUGUCAUAUCCCAUGGAAGGAAAAUGACAUGCAUAAGGAGAGACAAAUAAGAAAAAGCUUUAUUCUGUCAAAUCACUGAACUAACUUGUCCUUCAACUCUAAUAAUCUUUCAUAAACUACAUGCAUCUGCUACUUGUUCAUAAGAACUUAGUGUUGCUCUUUGUUCUGAUUCAUCCCACUGUUCUCACAAUGCCUCUUCUUGAUAGUUUAUGUAGUAUAGUAUAUGCAGUAUCAGUCUAAUUGAGAUCUUCAACAGAGAUUUAUUGUAAGCCUAACAUCUCUUUGCAGCUCUUUUGAGGACUAUAAGCAACAUGACCACACAGGUAUCACAAAACAAAAGAGUGAUGUUUGCAGAAGAGAAGGUAAUCUGGUCACCACAGCAAAGUGAGGAUAUAAAGGACUUGAGAGCAUGACACUACCUUGAAGGGUGAUUUUGGAGUGGCAUCAGAUCCUUCCAUGCGGUAUUCAUGCAUCACCCAAUCUGUCUUCUUCCCCUUGGGAGCUCUUCCUUGAUGGAACACCAAAGUCUUCCUCAUCCCAACCAGCAACCCCUUUCGGGCCACCGGCCUGUCCUUCCCGGUGGCCUUCCAGUAGCCUGACACGGUGGCCCUGUUGGUCCGCUGCCCGGUUGCGUAUUUCCGAUCUCGAUGGCUGAAGAAGUACCACUCCUUUCCCCCAACACAUGCAGUAGCUGAUCAUCCACAAGAAACAGUUUGGUUGCAUUAAAAGAAUGGAUGCAAGUCACACUCUGAUACAAGUUGCUGAUUCUAUGAAUUCACCAUCAGUGUCAGUGGCAAUCCUGAUCAAUGAUAUCUCGACAAGAAAUUGCACUUUGUCCUGGAAAGCACUGGAUCAGGACACUGAUACGACUUUGGUAGAGAAACAAGAUAUAAUUGGAUGUGAAUGAGAGAUGAACUUGUUUACAUGGUUUCUGUAACAUCAGCAAUGGACCUAACUCCAUGAUGGAGAUUGCUCAUCAUGGUGUGCAUGCUUGGUGGAUUAGCACAUCGACGUUGCACCUCUCACGAUACCAAAGAGUUGUCAGCGUCGAUCUCUUUAUCUCCUCUCUUUGAUUGAAUGUUAGACGGAUUGGCACCAAAGGUUCGAGACCAUGGAGGUGCCGACACUUGUGUGGUUCAUGAGAGAUUGAGAUCAUUCUUCUCUCUUGAAUUGAGAUCUCCAAUUUGGAAUCCAUCAACAUCUCCAAAAAGCAUUCCUUUGGGUUGAAACAUGUGUUUUGUGAUUCAAAUCAAGGUCUUCAGUUUGGUUCAUAGUAACAGCAGAUAUGCAUGCAGCAUAUAUAAUUUUAGGUAAGCAUAUUUCUUGAUGCCUUCUCCUUUCUUAGGUGUUAAGUUUCUUCUCUCUUUUCCUCCUUUUAGGUUUUGAUUCGUUUCAGGUAGAAGGAAUACUCCAUUAAAAGGGUUGGCAGUCAAUCAUGAAGGAACAGAACACAUGAACAGGUCCAAAGUGGUGAAGUUUGGUACAAGAAUAAUUUCCUUUGAUGGGAAGGCCAGAUAGGACAAGCAUGGAGAUUGAACGGAAGACAUGAUAGACCUCAAAAGAGGAUUGGAACCCGAGACUGUGCUGUGUCUUUGUGAAUUCUGAUAUCAUGUGAACUUAAAGGUUGCAGAAUGCCUUCUGAAGGAUCAAACUGUGCUUCCAGAUCAGAACCAAGAGUUUCAUUCCAAGGGGAGUGCAAAGACAGCAACGAAGAGGGGAUAGAGAGAGAGAGAGAGAGAGAGAGAGAGGAAUACCAGCAGCUAGUUCAUGUGAAGACAACAUAGAACAACAUGCUACACCAGUGCCAUCAGAACCAGAUCAAACAUGGUGCUCAAGGCAUGCAAUUGAUCUUACCAGGAAGAUCCCAUGGUUCGCACUUGUUGAGAUCAACAUCCACCAUCACAGCACUGCCAUGGAAGCUACCGCGGCCGCCGUCUCCGGCGAGCUUCACCGCGAGGUAAUCGCAGACGAGCUCGUCGUCCCUCGGGUGGAACCUGAAGCCCGGAGGCAGCUCUGCCUCCACCAUGCUCAACAUGCUCAUGGUGGUGUUGAUGAGAGGCAAACCACCGAGUAGAAUGAUGGAGUAUAUUAAAACUAAGUGGAGUAGGUGUUGUGUAUUAAUGAGGCCACUAAGUCAACUUUUGUAGGGGAGUUAGCAUGGGAUGGUUUGGAGUUUCAUCCAUAGGGAAGGGAAUGAACAAUGUCACAUACUUUUCUUCUUCCAUCUUCCCCACUUGAUGGUGACAUGGGGAUUGAUUAUUCCUUAAUCUAAUGUAGUUUAUUUGUUGAUUCAUUGCAUAGAAACUCUUUUUAUAUGGAUAUUAACAGAGUUGCAUUCUUGCCACUAAGUUGAACAUGAGCCACAGUACCAUUUCAGAUGACAUCUCAUGAUAUCUCUCAUAAACCAAAACAGGUUGAAUGGGCAAUUUGCAGUGUGAGUGUCAAACACAUACUGACAAUGUUCUAAGUACAUUACAAAUCAGAAACCCAAAAGGAGUGACAUCCAGCUUUCCCUACAGGAAAAAAAAAUCUUGCAUUAAUGUCUUCAUUUGUUUGACUUCGCUAUCAUAACACAUGCCAGUAGUGCUGUCAUCCAAUGGAAGAUGAUAGAUGCCAUGGCUGAUGCUGGCAUUUGGAUGUUCCCUGGUAGUCACUUCCUCAUUUAGCAGAGACAGCAGAUGUAGCUCAACAGUUUGCUCAGGGGGUUUGAUGCUUGUGGUUAUGGUGAAUGGAAGGCUGCUGUCAUCAAACCUAAUUCUUGUUAACCAGUUUCAGGACUGAUGACAAUGAAAUCAACAGUUUCAAGAUUCAGCAAAGCCAUUUCCAACAAGUCAUGAUUUGAUUAUGAGCAGGUGAAUGCAGUUCGAGCUAGUAUUCAUUAACUUGGAAGACAAAAAGAACAGUUUCUGUAUCAUCUUGUUUUGAUCAGAUGUUUGUAAUUAGAAAAAGUAUAAACUUGGAAGACAAGAAGAACAGUGUCUGUAGCUGAUCAGAUGACUGCAUUUAUAACCAGUAUCAUCAACUUGGAAGACAAAAACAACAGUGUUUACAGCAGUUAUGACCAGUAUCAACAUGGAAGACAGCAAGAACAGAGGUUUCUGUAUCAGCUGGUUGAGAUCAGCGUGAAUGCAGAGUCUUUCAGUGAAAAAAGUGAUGAGAAGACCCCAAAACUCAGCAGGCUGCCUCCUUCAGAUUACCAAGAGAGAAGGUUUGAGGUGAAAAGAGAACUUGAUAUGUUAGAAUAAUAGUGCCCACAGCCACAGCCUUCUCCUUUCUGCCAUCCCUCUGAUAUCUCCAUUGGUUGAGAAGGUAGUGUGGCCAAUCCAUCAAAAAGGCUCUUAUCAUGUCAAAACCACUAUUGGGACAGUCAAGAUUAGUCUGAUGCAGCUCAUAAGCAGAGCACUCAGAAGGCAACACAUGAUAUAUGUAACCAAUGACAGAAGUUUAUGUUCUUGGUUACACCUGUCAUCAGCCAUUAGAGAAUACAGCUUCUCACUUACCACCACCUUUCCAUAAAUUUUCAUUUUCUCAGAUAAAUGACUUUUAAUUUUCACUGAUUGUUGCUAUCCAAGAGAACCUACUAACUUGAUGAAUCUAAAUUUCUGAAUCAAAAUAUUUAAGUACAAGUCAACUAUAAUAAACUCUUCUAAUCUUCUAAAUCAACUCAAUUUUCCCUCUAACACUUUUUUGGAUAUCGGCUAUUAGUAUGAACUAACUAAUCAUAUUUUGGCCCAUUAAUUUCAGCAUAUUUAUUGAUGGAUCUCUUUGUGGUAUCAUAUGUCAUCAUCAAGUUCUUAAUAUUACAUUUUAACUUCUGCCAUUUACUUGUGUCUGUCAAAUGAUAAUAUUAUGCCUUUAGCUUUACCAAACCCACCAAGCUGUGACUUCAAAUGCUUGAUCUGAAGAACCCUGAUGGUGGAUCACAGUUUCCAAUUUGAGUAAGACAAAUACACAACCAAUUUCUCAAUAGUUCUUUUUUUAUUUCAAUGUGACAUUAGUAUCUGCAGAUGAACUGAUUCCAUUGUGUUCAUACCACAAAUAUCUAUAUAAAAAUCAGUCAUCAAAUUCCAAGAUUCAAAGGAAGGGUUGGAGCAGGUGGUCUGCCAAAUCAAGCAAGAUGAUUUAAAGAAUGGAUCCAUCAAAGCUUUCUCAUUGAGAAAAUUGGAGCAGACAGCAUUGAUGGCUAUAACGACUACACAAUCAUGGUGAUAGAUCACAAAUCUUCUGCAUGAGGACAUCAAGAAAACCUUGACACUACAAACAAAAAAAAAGUUUAUGUUCUAUUUCCCAAUGCAUUUAUUUAGCAUUAGACAAACUCAUCACAGCAGUUAGCAACAAUGGAUAUCAACCUCAUGGUGCUGUUUGUCUGAGCAAGCCAUGCAAAUCCAACACAGUAGACCUCAAUGAUUACCAGAAAAGCAAAUCAGGGAGGCAUUACUUUCUUGUGCCAUGAUAGGAAUGGCAUUAGAUGUUCAGAAUCACACAAUUACAAUCUAUGAGACCAUCAGAGAGUGAAAUCUUGAAGUUUGCUGGAGUGCAGCAUUUUGAAGUUUCAGAAUCCCAUGAUACUAAUUUAUGAAACCAUCAAGAAUGAACAUUCUUGUGUGGUUCAGGCUUUGCUAAAAGUCAGAUGAUAAGGAGAUUGUAAUUGAAAUAAUUGACAAAAAAACAUAUUACAAUUAUUGUAUUAUUGAACAUGAUAGAUUAUUUCUAACUGCAAUAAUCAUUGAUCUCUUGGAACUACAUCAAUCAAGUUGCCUUCCACAAAACUUUGGGUGGCUUCAUGGAUGAUGCAAGCUGGAGUACUAGUAGCUGUGAUACCCAAUUUGCUUUCUGAGCUUCCUUGUAAUGUUGUGGAUCCAAACUUGCAAGUGCCUCAAUAAUUUUCUUGGUUGCUUGUUCCAUCCAUAUGCCUUUCUGAACCAAUGAUGAUAUUUUGUUCCACCUUCAUUCAAGUGGCCAAGAUAUACGAGGCAUGCAAAUUGGCUGACCAAUGCAUCACAUAAGAUAUCAUUGUGCAGUAUCAACAUUAAUCCUGCAUUAACCAUCGAAGGUUUUAUGCGCAUAUAUGGAGAGCUAAAAAUCCAGAGAAAAAAAGGAAAACCAAAGGCCGAAGAUGAUCCAACUCACCUUUUGUUCUCAUCACAUUCUUGUCCUCCAUGGCUGCAGUGCAAAGCUGAAGUUGGCCCAUUCUUGUCCUUUUGGCUUUUGUCGCUGUUGGCAGUUGGCAGAUUCAUGGAUGAGAGUGGUGAGGGGGAUAAAGAUGAGUGAUUGCCUGCUUCGAUCUUUUUGCCCGAUGCAGCUAAGUGC